GUUACCCGGAUUUACUGGGCGUAAAGGGCGUGUAGGCGGCUUGGGGCGUCCCAUGUGAAAGGCCACGGCUCAACCGUGGAGGAGCGUGGGAUACGCUCAGGCUAGACGGUGGGAGAGGGUGGUGGAAUUCCCGGAGUAGCGGUGAAAUGCGCAGAUACCGGGAGGAACGCCGAUGGCGAAGGCAGCCACCUGGUCCACAUGUGACGCUGAGGCGCGAAAGCGUGGGGAGCAAACCGGAUUAGAUACCCGGGUAGUCCACGCCCUAAACGAUGCGCGCUAGGUCUCUGGGUUAUCUGGGGGCCGAAGCCAACGCGUUAAGCGCGCUGCCUGGGGAGUACGGCCGCAAGGCUGAAACUCAAAGGAAUUGACGGGGGCCCGCACAAGCGGUGGAGCAUGUGGUUUAAUUCGAUGCAACGCGAAGAACCUUACCAGGCCUUGACAUGCUAGGGGACCUAGGUGAAAGCCUGGGGUGCCCCGCGAGGGGAGCCCUAGCACAGGUGCUGCAUGGCCGUCGUCAGCUCGUGUCGUGAGAUGUUGGGUUAAGUCCCGCAACGAGCGCAACCCCUGCCGUUAGUUGCCAGCGGGUCAAGCCGGGCACUCUAACGGGACUGCCUGCGAAAGCAGGAGGAAGGCGGGGACGACGUCUGGUCAUCAUGGCCCUUACGGCCUGGGCGACACACGUGCUACAAUGCCCACUACAGAGCGAGGCGACCUGGUGACGGGGAGCGAAUCGCAAAAAGGUGGGCGUAGUUCGGAUUGGGGUCUGCAACCCGACCCCAUGAAGCCGGAAUCGCUAGUAAUCGCGGAUCAGCCAUGCCGCGGUGAUACGUUCCCGGGCCUUGUACUCACCGC
rnacentral:rRNA from 1 species